rnacentral:rRNA from 1 species
GACAGAGGAUGCAAGCGUUGUCCGGAAUUAUUGGGCGUAAAGAGCUCGUAGGCGGUCUGUCACGUCGGCUGUGAAAUCCCGAGGCUCAACCUCGGGUCUGCAGUCGAUACGGGCAAACUAGAGUAUUGCAGGGGAGACUGGAAUUCCUGGUGUAGCGGUGAAAUGCGCAGAUAUCAGGAGGAACACCGGUGGCGAAGGCGGGUCUCUGGGCAAUAACUGACGCUGAGGAGCGAAAGCGUGGGGAGCGAACAGG